GGGGCUAUUCUUGUUGGAGAAUGUUUAGAAGCAUCUCAAAACCUGGCAGGCCUAUAUCGCUGUUUUUACUCAUCCCACCUCACCCUUCAUUUGUAAAAGCAAAAUGCUAGAUGUUGGGAGGCAGGAUCAGAGGAAAGGUAGAGGGGAAAUUACUUUUUUUUUUUUCCCAGAGCUGGGGACUGAACCCAGGACCUUGAGCUUGCUAGGCAAGCGCUCUACCACUGAGCUAGCUAAAUCCCCAACCCCCUGGAUAUUUGUCUUUGAAAAAUAUUUGUCAAAGUUUCUUGGAUUUCAUGAAAAUGCAAGUGUCAAGCUGUGAUGAAUGUUUCCAUAUAUAAAUUGUUAGUAAUGAAUUUCUCUUGCAGCAUUUUAGAUUGAUGUCACUCCAUGUAGCCUUUUGUUUCAUUUAGGAUCAGGCGGCUAGAGACAUGAAGAGACUUGAGGAAAAGGACAAGGAAAGAAAAAACGUAAAGUAAGUUGUUCCUCCACUCUCACAAAGGUUACAUAGCAAUGGUUGAAGAAUUGCAAAGACUGUUCUUAAGAACUUAU
rnacentral:lncRNA from 1 species